CCUACGGGUGGCAGCAGUGAGGAAUCUUGGUCAAUGGACGAGAGUCUGAACCAGCCAAGUAGCGUGAAGGAUGACUGCCCUAUGGGUUGUAAACUUCUUUUAUAUGGGAAUAAAAUGUUCCACGUGUGGGAUUUUGUAUGUACCAUAUGAAUAAGGAUCGGCUAACUCCGUGCCAGCAGCCUCGGUAAUACGGAGGAUCCGAGCGUUAUCCGGAUUUAUUGGGUUUAAAGGGAGCGUAGGUGGAUUGUUAAGUCAGUUGUGAAAGUUUGCGGCUCAACCGUAAAAUUGCAGUUGAAACUGGCAGUCUUGAGUACAGUAGAGGUGGGCGGAAUUCGUGGUGUAGCGGUGAAAUGCUUAGAUAUCACGAAGAACUCCGAUUGCGAAGGCAGUUCACUGGACUGCAACUGACACUGAGGCUCGAAAGUGUGGGUAUCAAACAGGAUUAGAUACCCUGGUAGUC
rnacentral:rRNA from 1 species